rnacentral:rRNA from 1 species
UACGUAGGGUGCGAGCGUUGUCCGGAAUUAUUGGGCGUAAAGGGCUCGUAGGCGGUUUGUCGCGUCGGGAGUGAAAACCCAGGGCUUAACUCUGGGCUUGCUUUCGAUACGGGCAGACUAGAGGCAUGCAGGGGAGAACGGAAGUUCCUGGUGUAGCGGUGAAAUGCGCAGAUAUCGGGAGGAACACCAAUGGCGAAGGCAGCUUGCUGGGACGGUACUGACGCUGAGGCGCGAAAGCGUGGGGAGCAAACAGG